AGCAGAUUUUUUGAGUCUUUGUACUCCUGGGUCGGCUGAGAGUGCAGUUCGGGGGGGACCCGCGCGGUUCCUUUCUGUUCAGGUGCCGCCCUGGGCAGCCUCCCCCAUUCCUGGGGCUUCCGUGCGCACGGGGCGCCGUUAGCGCGCCUCCAAGAUGGCGACGCUGUUGGCGGUAAAUUCGGCUGCUAGUCUAUGGGGUCCUUAUAAAGACAUUUGGCAAACGGUGGGAAAUGUCCUUUGGAGAAGACAACCUGAAGCUGUCCACCUUCUUGACAUGAUUUUGAAGAAACAUAAACCUGACUUCAUCUCCUUGUUCAGAAACCCACCAAAAAAUGUUCAACAACAUGAGAAGGUUCAGAAAGCCAGCACAGAGGGAGUCGCCAUCCAGGGUCAACAGGGAACCCGACUUCUUCCUGAGCAGCUCAUUAAAGAGGCCUUUAUCCUCAGUGACCUUUUUGACAUUGGAGAACUGGCAGCAGUUGAGCUUCUCCUUGCUGGAGAGCACCAGCAGCCACAUUUUCCUGGCCUCACCAGAGGAUUAGUAGCUGUUCUUCUAUAUUGGGAUGGAAAGCGGUGCAUUGCGAACUCUCUGAAAGCCUUGAUACAGUCUAGACGAGGAAAGACGUGGACCCUCGAACUCAGUCCAGAACUGGUUUCCAUGAUAACACGCUUUACAGAUGAACUAAUGGAGCAAGGGUUGACUUACAAAGUUCUUACUCUGGUAUCACAGAUUGAUGUGAACAAUGAGUUUGAGAAACUACAGCGUGAGAGAGGUUUGGGCAGUGAAAAGCAUCGCAAAGAGGUUUCUGACCUCAUCAAGGAGUGCAGGCAGUCUCUGGCAGAAAGCAUUUUCUCCUGGGCUUGCCAGUCACCAUUAGGCAAAGAUGACACUCUGCUCCUUAUUGGACAUUUGGAAAGAGUGACAGUUGAGGCUAAUGGCUUGUUGGAUGCGGUGAAUCUGGCUCUUCUCAUGGCACUUCUGUACUGCUUUGAUAUCAGUUUUAUAGAACAAAGCACAGAGGAGCGCGAUGAUAUGAUUCAGCAACUUCCACUUUUGACUGAGAGACAGUACAUUGCAUCGGUUCACUCUCGCCUUCAAGACUCGCAGCCUUGGAAACUGCCUGGGCUGCAAGCCACUGUUCGACUUGCCUGGGCACUGGCAUUGAGGGGAAUAUCUCAGUUACCUGAUGUGACAGCUGUGGCUGAAUUCACAGAAGCAGAUGAAGCAAUGGCAGAGCUCGCAAUUGCUGACAAUGUUUUCCUGUUCCUCACUGAAUCCGUAGUGGUGUCAGAAAACUUCUAUCAGGAUGAAUUUUAUAUUCGUAGAAUCCACAAUCUCAUCACAGAUUUCCUUGCACUUAUGCCAAUGAAGGUGAAGCAGUUGAGGAAUCGGGCAGAUGAAGACGCUCGAAUGAUUCAUAUGAGUAUGCAGAUGGGUAAUGAACCCCCCAUUUCACUUAGAAGGGAUCUGGAACAUUUAAUGCUCUUGAUUGGUGAGCUAUAUAGAAAGAACCCUUUUAAUUUGGAGCUUGCUUUGGAAUAUUGGUGUCCCUCAGAGCCUCUGCAGACUACCACCAUCCUAGGUUCUUACCUUGGGGUGGCUCAUCAGCGACCCCCUCAACGCCAGGUUGUCUUGUCAAAGUUUGUUAGGCAAAUGGGUGACCUGUUGCCUCCAACUAUUUAUAUUCCUUAUCUGAAAAUGCUCCAGGGAUUGGCCAAUGGGCCCCAGUGUGCCCACUACUGUUUUAGCCUGCUCAAAGUCAAUGGUAGUAGUCAUGUUGAAAAUAUUCAGGGAACAGGGGGCAGUCCUGUUUCCUGGGAACAUUUUUUUCACUCCUUAAUGCUUUACCAUGAACACCUCCGGAAGGAUCUUCCUAGUGCAGACAGUGUCCACUACCGCCACCUGCCUUCGCGUGGCAUCACCCAGAAGGAGCAGGAUGGACUGAUUGCUUUUUUACAGCUCACAUCUACCAUCAUUACUUGGAGUGAAAAUGCGCGUCUGGCACUCUGUGAACAUCCUCAGUGGACCCCUGUGGUGGUGAUUCUGGGACUCCUGCAAUGCAGUAUUCCCCCUGUUCUGAAAGCCGAACUACUGAGGACACUGGCAGCUUUUGGCAAGUCACCCGAGAUCGCUGCUUUCCUCUGGCAGUCGUUGGAAUACACUCAGAUAUUGCAGACCGUAAGGGUUCCAAGCCAGAGGCAAGCUGUUGGUAUAGAGGUUGAACUAAAUGAAAUAGAAUCCCGGUGUGAAGAAUACCCGUUGACACGGGCCUUUUGCCAGCUUAUUAGUACUCUGGUGGAGAGCUCAUUUCCUUCUAAUUUGGGUGCCGGACUGAGGCCCCCUGGCUUUGAUCCUUAUUUGCAGUUCCUUAGAGAUUCUGUGUUUCUCCGAUUCCGCACAAGAGCUUACCGGAGAGCAGCUGAAAAGUGGGAAGUUGCUGAAGUUGUUUUGGAGGUGUUCUACAAAUUGCUCAGAGAUUAUGAGCCUCAACUUGAAGAUUUUGUAGACCAGUUUGUGGAAAUACAAGGAGAAGAAAUCAUAGCUUACAAGCCCCCAGGAUUUAGCCUGAUGUAUCAUCUUCUAAAUGAGUCACCCAUGUUGGAGCUUGCGCUUAGUUUACUGGAAGAAGGCGUUAAGCAGCUGGACACCUAUGCCCCUUUCCCUGGGAAGAAACACUUAGAGAAAUCGGUACAGCAUUGCCUUGCACUUCUCAAUCUUACUUUGCAAAAGGAAAAUCUCUUUAUGGACCUUCUAAGAGAGAGUCAGCUGGCUCUGAUAGUCUCUCCUUUAGAACAGCUUUUGCAGGGAAUCAAUCCCAGAACUAAGAAGGCUGAUAAUGUGGUGAAUAUUGCCAGAUACCUGUAUCAUGGCAAUACUAAUCCGGAAUUGGCUUUUGAAAGUGCCAAGAUCCUCUGCUGUAUCUCUUGCAACACCAAUAUUCAGAUAAAAUUGGUUGGAGAUUUCACACAAGACCAGAGUAUAAGUCAGAAGCUGAUGGCUGGAUUUGUGGAGUGUUUGGAUAAUGAAGAUACAGACGAAUUUAUGCGGCUGGACGAUGGGUCAGAAUUUGAUAAGAAAUUAGCUGGAAUCCGUCAUGAAACAAGAAUCCAUAUCUUGAAUCUUCUCAUCACCUCGCUGGAGCGCAAUCCACCCAGUCUUGCUCUCUACCUAUUGGGCUUUGAAUUGAAGAAACCUGUCAGUACCACAAACCUACAAGACCCAGGAGUGUUAGGUUGCCCUCGGACGUGCCUUCAUGCCAUCUUAAACAUCUUGGAGAAAGGAACUGAAGGGAGGACAGGCCCGGUGGCAGUGAGAGAAUCUCCUCAACUUGCUGAGCUAUGCUACCAGGUGAUAUAUCAGUUAUGUGCAUGCUCUGAUACAUCUGGUCCUACUAUGAGAUACUUGAGAACCAGCCAGGAUUUCUUAUUUUCUCAGUUGCAACAUUUACCUUUUUCUAACAAAGAAUAUGAAAUAUCUAUGUUGAACCAAAUGUCAUGGCUGAUGAAGACUGCCUGCAUAGAACUAAGGGUAACGUCUCUGAAUCGUCAGCGGUCACAUACCCAGAGGCUCCUACACCUCUUGCUGGAUGACAUGCCAGUGAAACCAUACUCAGAUGGUGAAGGAGGACUAGAAGAUGAAAAUAGGUCUGUCUCUGGGUUCCUUCAUUUUGACACGACUACAAAAGUACGUCGAAAAAUUUUAAGUAUUCUUGACUCAAUUGACUUCAGUCAGGAGAUUCCUGAGCCUUUGCAAUUGGAUUUCUUUGAUCGGGUCCAGAUUGAACAAGUUAUAGCAAACUGUGAACACAAGAAUUUACGGGGACAGACAGUCUGCAAUGUCAAGCUUCUUCAUAGAGUUCUUGUAGCUGAAGUAAAUGCCCUUCAGGGUAUGGCAGCCAUAGGACAGAGACCUCUGCUAAUGGAGGAAAUCAGCACCAUACUUCAGUACGUGGUAGCAAGAAACAAGUUGUUGCAGUGUCUUCAUGCAAAACGGCAUGUGCUAGAGUCAUGGAGGCAGCUGGUUGAAAUUAUACUGACAGCUUGUCCCCAGGACCUCAUUCAGACAGAGGACCGACAACUGAUCAUUCGUGAUAUUUUACAAGAUGUGCAUGAUAAGAUACUGGAUGAUGAGGCAGCACAGGAGUUAAUGCCAGUGGUAGCAGGUGCUGUGUUCACCCUGACCGCCCACCUAAGCCAAGCCGUGCGCACGGAGCAGAAGCAGCCAUUAGCCUCGGGACUCGGAGAAGCCCAUUACGCUUUCAUGCUUGAUAGCUGUUUCGCCUCCCCUCCAGCACAGAACCCAGUGGUGGAUUUCACUGCUGUUGGAGAUUCUUCACUUCACAUCAUUUUGAAGAAACUGUUAGACUUCAUUUUGAAGACAGGUGGUGGGUUCCAGCGAGUGAGGACACACUUGUAUGGCUCUCUGCUCUAUUACCUACAGAUUGCACAGAGACCUGAUGAACCGGACACCUUAGAAGCAGCCAAAAAAACCAUGUGGGAAAGGUUGACAGCCCCUGAAGACGUGUUUAGUAAAUUACAGAGAGAAAACAUAGCCAUCAUUGAGAGCUACGGUGCUGCCCUCAUGGAAGUGGUCUGUCGAGAUGCCUGUGACGGUCAUGAGAUUGGAAGGAUGCUGGCGCUGGCUCUGCUCGAUCGGAUCGUCUCGGUGGACAAGCAGCAGCAGUGGCUUCUGUACCUGUCCAACAGUGGCUAUUUGAAGGUGCUUGUGGACAGCUUGGUGGAAGAUGACCAUACUCUGCAGAGCUUACUCACACCACAACCGCCCCUUUUAAAAGCUCUGUAUACUUACGAAUCCAAAAUGGCGUUUCUCACUAGAGUGGCUAAGAUACAGCAGGGCGCUUUAGAACUGCUGAGGUCGGGGGUGAUUGUGAGGCUGGCACAAUGCCAAGUCUAUGACAUGCGCCCAGAAAUGGACUCGCAGGGCAUGUUUGGCAUGAGGGACCCCCCAGUGUUCAUCCCGACUCCAGUGGACCGGUACCGUCAGAUUCUCCUUCCAGCUCUCCGCUUGUGCCAGGUCAUCCUCACGUCUAGCAUGGCCCAGCACUUGCAGGCAGCAGGGCAGGUGUUGCAGUUUCUCAUUUCGCAUUCUGAUACCAUACAAGCAAUCCUGCGCUGCCAGGACGUCAGUGCCGGGUCUUUGCAGGAACUGGCUCUGCUCACAGGAAUUAUAAGUAAAGCAGCACUUCCAGGUAUAUUAAGUGAACUGGAUGUUGAUGUAAAUGAAGGAUCUCUAAUGGAGCUACAGGGACAUAUUGGAAGAUUCCAGCGCCAGUGCUUGGGACUACUAAGUCGCUUUGGUGGCUCUGACAGACUCCGUCAGUUUAAAUUUCAAGAUGAUAAUGUGGAAGGAGACAGAGUGAACAAGAAAGAUGAAAUCGAACUCGCUAUGCAACAGAUUUGUGCCAAUGUCAUGGAAUAUUGCCAGUCACUCAUGAUGCAGAGUUCCCCUACCUUUCAGCAUGCUGUGUGCCUCUUCACCCCGAGCCUGUCCGAAACCAUUAACAGAGAUGGACCCCGGCAAGUUGAUCUAUCUUCAAAUUCAUUUAUUCUUUCCUGAGUCAGUUCCAUUUAGCUGUUAAGUAUAUCCAGUGAAUUUUUUAUUUCAGAAAUGGUAUUUUUCAGUUCUACAAUUUCCAUUUGGUUUUGUGAUAUCAUUUAUAUUUUUUCUACUGAGAUAUCCUGUGGUUUUUAUUGAUUGUGAGCUUAUUUUGUUUUCUCUCGGUUAGGAUAGUCAGAAUAGCUACUCUGAAACCCUCAUUCACUAAUUUCCAACAUCUCGUUCAUCUGAGAUUAGAUUUGAUUGGUUUUCUUGUCUCUUGAGAAUGUCUUCCACUUUCUUAGUUGUCGCAUGUGGGGUAAUUUUAAAUUGUAUAUUACAUUCCCUACCAGUGUGCCUGCUUCUGUUCACUCUGGUACCGUCAGGUAGUUGUUUUUGUAUUGUGUCUAGGUUUUCUACUUGUUGUCUGGUAUGAUUUUAGUUUGUCAUACUUGGAAGCAGAAGUUCUUAAUAUCUAACAAGUUACCUUUACUUAAAAGAUACCUUUCAUUCAGCGAUUCAUUUGGAGAGUAGUCUUACUUAGGUAAGAGUAUGUCUUAAUGAAAUUGAAGAAGUAGCUGUAAAGCUUCAUAGUUAUAUUCUGUGGGAUAAAUGGGUAUUAAACCAUUUAGAUUGGAGAUAUAAAACAAUGGCUUUGACAUGAUUAAGCAAAUUAAUUCUACAUAGUUCUAGCUUUGUCUUAUAUUCAGUAAGUUUGCUUCCAGGAAGAUCACUGGAAUAAGAAGAUGUUGCCCUGGGAGGAGUUCCACUUUAGGGAGAUACGGAUCCUCACAUGUGCUCGCUGGGUGGUUCAGCAGAGGUGAAAGAUCAUCUUCACCUUGGAAUGAUUGGCGGUCCUACCCUAAACCCCUCAUUCAGAACAGUGGUUUGCAUAUCACCCAGCAGUGACAUUUAACCUCAUCCAUCCCCUCUCUGUCUGGCAAUUUGUGAUUGUAGUUCUUGAUGAAGACCUGAUUACAUCAAGAAGGCAAUCCCUUUCUUCCCCCCUUAAAUCUUAAAUUUUUAAAAAACACGAGAUUUUCAAACCAAUAAUUUUGUCAUUUAUUCUUCAAAAACAUUAAUCAUAUGCUAAUAAUGUAUCAGUAGUAAUUAUUAAGACUUCAUUUUAAUCUUUCACAAAUAAUUAUCAUUCUUUAAUCUUUAAUACUUAAAGAUGAACUUUAUGAAGCCAUAUAAAUUGAUCUUUAUUUUCCCUCAGGCUUUUUAAAGAGUUAACAAGCACAUUUUCUUCUGCCAGUUCUAGACAUGGGAGUGGGCAGGUGUGUGGUAGGUGUGAGAACACUGAGUUAUAGAGAGGCACUUGAACCUACUGGUUAAGAGCACAGUAGGUGACGAACUGCCUAGAUUUGUGUCCCAGUUCUAUAAGUGACUGUUUGUAUGACUUCAGAAAAUUCACUUACCCUCUUAGUGCCUCAGUUUCUUUAUUUGUGAAAUAGCAAAUAAAUGAAUGCUCCAAUGAAUGACUGUAAGGAUUAAAUGUGUUACUAUAUGUAAAGUGUUUGAGAACAGUGCCUGGCCCUUAGCAAUACCUAAAUGUUAGCUAUUAUUAUUUUUAUUAUUGUUGUUGUUAUCAUUUAGUAUAUUUACUAUUACUUGUGAUCCAGGGACCCUUUCCUAUAGCACCUCUAUUGCCAGACCUCAUGAUCUUUCCUGUGGAAUCUGUUUCUGUAGUCAAAUUUCUUAGGAGCCAUCUUCAUCUGAUGUCUAUGUCUGAUAGCCUAUGAACAUUGGUCUUUUCUAGACUUGAGCAUGUCAGUGUGAGAACUCCUAAAAUGCUAUGGAGUAUUCUUAGCAUUAGACUAUCUUCUUCGUAGAUAUCUUCCUACCAGGGGAGAUACCACACAAAUGUUAACUGGGGACCAGGGUACGUAAGUUCACCAGGAGGAGGCUCUGUGUAGAUGUGAUGACCUGUAUCAUCUUCACUGAAGACUGGAAUGGAAACCUGAAAUCAGAUGUGUCUGGGAUAUCCUGGUUGCUGUCAGCACCCACUGAUAAGGGGCUGUUUUCUCUCUUCCCCUCCACAUGAAGACCCAUGAGAUCUGACUUUGGAGCAAAGUUAAGGGAGGCUGUAGUGAAGGAAGCAAAUGCUGAUCUCUCCUUUACUGUACAUGGCAGUUAGGGCCAUUCAACAAAGAUGUCUCCAAAUUGAACCUGAAGUUGCUAAGGUGUUUCUGAAGAAAUUCCUCAGUCAUAGAGGAAAGUGCUCUGUUUGCCCUCACAGGCUGUCUGUAGAGUAGCAGUGGUAUUUUCUCUAGCUCUUCCCUCUGCAGGCACCUUUUCUGACAUUUCGCCGUUCCUGUACCUUCAUCAGAAGGUGAUCAAGUCAAAAGCAGAUCAUCUUGUUUUGCUACCCAAAUGGAUUUACUGUGAUACCCAAGCUCCAGUAGUUCCAUAUUGGCGCCUGCCUGGUUUGGGCAUUAUUGUCUACCUACUGAAACAGAGUGCUAAUGAUUUCUUCAGCUACUAUGACAGUCAUCGGCGGAGUGUCAACAAGUUACAGAAUGUAGA